AAUUCAUAAGAUAAUAAAGAAUAAACAAGUAAAUGAUGUUAUUUUACCUUUACAUAAUUGAAGGAAUAUUAAAUAAUGAUUAUUUCACCGAGUGUUAAUAGACAACCCGAAGAAAAUAUGACAGUGUUAUUGAUUUUUAAUGCACGUUUUAAAGCGCUUCAGGACCGGUAAAAGACACUAUUAUGGAAUUUGACUCGGCAACCUGCCAACCACCAGCAGGCAGUAGGAGCUUUUUGAUUGGUCGUUUCUCAGUAUGAAGAGCUGCAGCAGUGAAGGCUACAGCUUUGUCUGCUGGACCUCAACGAGAGGUUUAGAAGGAAAACACUGACUGUGUCUCAGCUGAGCCUCAAGCCACCCUGCGUGAGACUUUAACACAGAAUGGCAGACUGGGGGGCUCAGCGUUUGCCAAAAGAAAUCCAAGGUCUGAUGUGCAUAGAUCAGUUUGAGUUUCUCUUUAUUUCAUUCUCGGGGACACAAUGUCUCCACUAGCGUCAGGUGGCAGGACCCACUGCAGAUGUUCUUUUAAUGAGCAGUGAAAUGACAUUAAUUAUAAUUAGUGGACAGCUGAGCCAGAAGAGAACAACAAGCUGGAUAAGGGCUUCAGCGAGAGUCUCUCUGAAUCUCCAGCUCUGCUUCCCCACAACUGGAAUGAAAAGUGUUGGCUGCAGUGUCUUAUCAAGCAACAGUUGUUCUUCAGACAGCGGCUCUUUGUGGGCAGGAAGCAUCCUCGCCUCUGUGUGAUGCAAACUUUUGUAGACCAAACUUGACGUAUAACAAUUUUAUUCUCACACUUGCUGCAUGAAUAAUAUUUUGACGCUGCUGUUUUUACUUUAAGUCUAAGAAGCAACGGACUCAUCUUAAUAUUAAUGAAAAGUGCCAAGGGUUGAUGUUUUUAUAAAAACGUUGAGCCUAUUUUAUUGCAACACCAGAAAAAAAGAUUUAGAAAAAGAAACAUUUAUUUUGUAAUUUUGUACAUUUUUUUUUGAGUUAAUGUUAAUGUUGCUGUUUAGGUGUUACUUGUGAGACAUCCUCCUGACAAGGGGGUCACAAGUUGCCUGUGUUGCACAAAAUGUAAUGUAAUAGAAGCACGGAAGCCAAAGCAUGCAGAGGCUGUACCAGCACCACAUCAUUUUAUAUGUAUAACCUACUAACAGGAGGAAAAAUACACUCUAACCUAUUAAUUAGGCAUUAUUCAGUUUAUCUGUCACUGUAAUGGCCACUUAUGAGUUUUGAUCUCUAUUUGCAUGUUUGUGCCCCCCACCACUUGUACACACAGAAAAGUAUUUUAUUAAACUGACACAAAUAAUAACAGUGGGUUCUUUCACAUUUCAGUCAUAAAGAGUUCAAAUAAAACUUUUUACUUC